CACGGGUGAUGGCUCAGACAGACACACGGGUGAUGGCUAUUUCAUAUCACCUGACAAAGUGUCACAGAUUAAUGCAGCCGUCCCAGUUGCUACCAAUCAGAUACUGACACGCAUACACUGCCUUCGAAAAGUAUUCAGACCCCUUAAACAUUUCCCCCAACAUAAAUUAACACAAUACACCAUAAUGACAAACACUUUUUAGUUGUUUUUGCCAAUUUGUUGAAAAUAAAAAUGUUUAGUAUGAGCUUGUUGUGAUCAGAUUGGCCUGAUAAACUCUUCAGAAUCCCAUGAACAAUAGAAAACAGAAUUCAUAAUGUUGCCAAAUUUUGUGCGAAAUUAUUAAUAAAAGGCCAUCUGAAAUUGUUUCUGUCAAACCUGUUAUCUGAGCUGGCCUUUCUUAUGUUAACACUCUUGACUUCAUUCUAAUGAUUCAGUCUUUAAACUGUGGUUUGAAUCCUAACUGCCAUUGUUUAUGUUAUUUGUUUCAGGUAACGGUCAGACUCAGCAAAAACAAUUUUAUCGGCUGUAAAUAUAUACGCUUCUCAACAUUCAGGACUGCAACUGAGCUCCACUGCACAACAGACCCAGGUGUACUCGAUCUCCUCCUGGAGUUUGAGACAUCAUUAGGCCUAAGGAGAGUUGGAGGGGAAUUGCCUAAAAUCUUUGCUGUUGAUGCGGAAUAGUGAAUCCCUUUGUCGGGGAUUGUGCAUCACGAGGUGACUGCGCUCUGUUGCGAGACGACUGUUUAGAAAUGCACUGUCAGGAAAACCGUGAUUUUAAAGGUAAAUUCAGCAAUAUGACGGAGCCAACAGGCGAUUUACACAAGAGCUGCGGAGAUUGACGCGGGGCGCUAGACCUGUUCGCUGUUUUGGCCCCAUUGCCACGCUGCUGUGACAAUGUGAAACCUGUGCACAUGAGCAGCUGUUCUCUGUGCGUCUGUGUGAGAGGUAAGGCCUUGCGUCUCGCUCACCGCAGCGUGUGAAGACGUCAUUACGCUGAGUCAACCUUUAACCACAGUCGCAUUCCAAAUGGCACCCCAUUUCCUGGUCCACUACUUUAACCACGGCCCGUGGGGCUCUGGUCUGGAGUAGUGCACCAUGUAGAAAAUAGGGUGUGAUUUGGAAUGCACUUCAGAUGCUGUAAGGCCGUAUUUUAAAUCAGGAAAUACUUGAGAAUAAGUGAGUGAUGUGUAGUCCUAAUAUAGAUGUUCUUGUUUAGCAGUUGAUACUACUGAGAUAAUUCACAUAUUUCAACAUGGUAAAAACGUUGAUAUUGAAGACCUUGUGAAGCUGAUGGCAGUUGGUUUCUUGAUAUUACUUUUUUUUUUUUUUUUACUAUGCAGGGAUUGUUAUUUAUUCUCCUAUAAGAGUCAGUAAUGUAUACAUAGACCCCUAUCAAGGCUUGUACUGAGCAGUUAUGAUUUUGAAGCCAGAUGUAUUUAAAAUGAGUGAACCGGUGACUAAAAAAGUAGUAAUUUAUUUAUUGUUGAAAUUCUAUAAUAUAAAAUGUUUUUUUUCCAUUAGAACACAGUGGCUAUCUAAUGAAGUAGAUCUUACUCACAAUUUCACAAUGUCCAU
ensembl:lncRNA